UACGGAGGGGGCUAUCGUUGUUCGGAAUUACUGGGCGUAAAGCGCACGUAGGCGGGCUGGAAAGUCAGGGGUGAAAUCCCGGGGCUCAACCCCGGAACUGCCUUUGAAACUUCCAGUCUUGAGGUCGAGAGAGGUGGGUGGAAUUCCGAGUGUAGAGGUGAAAUUCGUAGAUAUUCGGAGGAACACCGGUGGCGAAGGCGGCCCACUGGCUCGAUACUGACGCUGAGGUGCGAAAGCGUGGGGAGAAAACAGG
rnacentral:rRNA from 1 species